AACUACCGUGCCAGCAGCCGCGGUAAUACGGAGGGUGCGAGCGUUAAUCGGAAUUACUGGGCGUAAAGACGCAUGCAGGUGGUUUGUUAAGUCAGAUGUGAAAGCCCGGGGCGUCAACCUCGGAAUAGCAUUUGAAACUAGGCAGACUAGAGUACUGUAGAGGGGGGUAGGAAUUUCAGGUGUAGCGGUGAAAUGCGUAGAGAUCUGAAGGAAUACCGGUGGCGAAGGCGGCCCCCUCGGACAGAUACUGACACUCAGAUGCGAAAGCGUGGGGAGCAAACAGGAUUAGAUACCCUGGUAG
rnacentral:rRNA from 1 species